rnacentral:misc_RNA from 1 species
CAACCUUUCUUCUGUGAAAAUGCUACAUGAAAAUUGUGAAAUGUCAAAUAGAGAUAUGAUAUAACAAAAACCAUUUGCAGAUAUCCAGUCAUGUUUGUUAAGGUAUCAUGUUUUAGUAGGAUCUCCACAAAAAGCAUAGAUAAUCCCUGAAUAAUAUAUUUUAAGCUCAUUAGAUAAAAAAUUAAACAUCAUUGGAAGAUGAUAGAAGCAAAAGGUAAAGUUGAAGAAAAAGGAAAAAGAGAUAAAAUAAUCAUAAUAUAAAAAUAAAUGCACCUGUUUAAUACACCAAAAUGCAGU